GGUGGGUUGGCAGGUAUGGGGGCAAGUUUACUUCUCACACAUGCUACCAACUAGCAAGUCAGGAGUUAUGGAUGCUCUUUUUACAACAAAAUUACAACUAAUUGAUCACAACCAAUUACAGAUUCCUUUGUUCCUUCUCCACUCCCACUGCUUCACUUGACCAGCCUUUA
rnacentral:sRNA from 1 species